AGAAUGAAACAAAGGAACAGUGCUGAAGGAAGUUAAAUCCGACAGAAUAUUAACAACAAGCCUGAACUUAUUCGUCAGUGUUCUCUCAGGUUAUACCGAAGUAGAACUUUAUAGCAUCAGUGAAAUAGACGAAGGAUUCAUUUGAAGAAAAUUUUGAAAAAUCUGAAGAAUCAGUCAUUUUGACGGUAAGUUUAUUAUACGUUUGCAGUUUGCACAUGCAUAGAAUGAAGAAAAGUGCAUGUAACUGCGCUGGUGAUUCGAUUGCAACUGGCAAUCUUUGAUUACGUGAUAGCACAACCUCCGAGGAGCCAAACACAACAUCGAAACAUUCAUCUUCUCUAUAGAUUUCGCCUUUCGCCAUGAAAAUCUUCGCUUUCACGAUCGUGUUGCUCCUUAUCGUGUCUUUUCAACAAACAGAAGCUGUCGCUCCGUUUUUCAGGAUCUUUCUGACACUGAGUUACACUGGUUACAAGUUGGUUAAGAGAUCGUAUUAUGCCAAAUGCAAUACGCGAAACGUUCCUGCUAACAUGAAUUGCCCUUCAGUCGUCUACGGAUUUGGCUUAAGCAGAAACGCGGCCCAAAACAGCGCAAGAAUCUACGCAGAAUUGAAAGGAGAUACAGGUUGUGGUCUUUAUGUCGGACAUUGCCAAACCAGGAAAUUCGUGAAAUGACGGCGUGGCUGAUGAAAAUGGAAAAGGUUUGAACUAAACUCUAGAAUGAAGAAUUACAUGACGAUAAUCGUAAUAAACGUUCAAUUUUGUCUUUGAUUUAUACUAAACCGUAUCAUGUAAAAGCAAUAAAAAAAUUUGUUUUGUCUGCAU
rnacentral:lncRNA from 1 species